rnacentral:rRNA from 1 species
AACGAACGCUGGCGGCAGGCCUAACACAUGCAAGUCGAGCGCCCUUUCGGGGGAGCGGCGGCCGGGUGCGUAACGCGUGGGAAUAUGCCCUUCUCUACGGAAUAGCCUCGGGAAACUGAGAGUAAUACCGUAUACGCCCUUUGGGGGAAAGAUUUAUCGGGGAAGGAUUAGCCCGCGUUGGAUUAGGUAGUUGGUGGGGUAAUGGCCUACCAAGCCGACGAUCCAUAGCUGGGUUGAGAGGAUGAUCAGCCACACUGGGACUGAGACACGGCCCAGACUCCUACGGGAGGCAGCAGUGGGGAAUCUUAGACAAUGGGGGCAACCCUGAUCUAGCCAUGCCGCGUGAGUGAUGAAGGCCUUAGGGUUGUAAAGCUCUUUCAGCUGGGAAGAUAAUGACGGUACCAGCAGAAGAAGCCCCGGCUAACUCCGUG